rnacentral:rRNA from 1 species
AUGUCGGCCUUCACCGGCGUGUCCAUCGCCGACGGCUACAAGCGGUGCGGCUGCGAGACGCUGGCCGUGGACGCCCGCGGGGACAGCGGCUACCACCUGCUCAUGGUCAACGGCUACUCGCGCACCAAAGAGCUGAUUCCCACCGGCCAGAGCAUCACCGCCAACUCUUUCAAUGUGGGAGGCCAUGACUGGUUGAUCGAGUACUACCCUAACGGCGAGAACCUUCUCUACGACACCGAUGACGACGACGAAGAGCCCGUGGAGGUCAGGUUCAGUUUCAGCUUGGUGGACCAGGUGGAGAAGCAGAUGCCCAUGUACAUUCGUGCAACCCGCAGCUUCUCCAGCACCACUUCAAUCUGGGGCAACGACAGGUUUAUCAGAAAGAGCGAUUCAUUCCUGAUAAAAUCCUUAUGUUCUAUACCAUAA